rnacentral:lncRNA from 1 species
CGCCGCUCGCCUCGGCCGGCGCAGCCCCGGCCGCCGGGCGCACCCGUCCCGUGCGUCCCCGGACGUCGCUCUCUGCCCCGGGAACGUCGGGACUGGAGCGCCCGCGCUGAGCCACCUUCACCGACCCAGAGCGCUGCGGCUCGACUCACCACGGAGGCGCUGGGACGCGGGGAAGUGCGUACUCUCAACGGGGAAUGUGUGUGGAGGCUUUUAGGGGUGCGGGGUAACUCCCCAACUCCAUGGGGGCCCUGGUCGGCUCUGCCGCCGCGUCCGAGAUCUGAUGACUCGCUGCGCGCGGCGCGGGGUCGGCGACUUGGGGCGGCGGGGCGCAGAGUACCGUGACCUGGGGGGUCCCCGAAGCUGGGAGCCAGGUCGCCUCGCCUCGGGCCUCCUUGACCCCUGGGGCGAGGCCUGAACCGGGUCGAGAGCGAUCUUGAUGCCGGGGGAGUCCAGCCCGCCUGGGACGCUCUCGCGGUCGUGGGGACUCGUCUGGGGCGGCGGUGGCUGAGCCCGAGUCCGGCGCCGCCACCGCCGGCGUCCCGUGCGCUCGCUACCCGCCUGGGGACCGGCCGCCUAACUUCUUCCCGGGACGGACACAGCGCUCGCAUCCCGGGCAGAGGUGGAAGCUCGCUGAUCCGGAUUCGGCGAGGGCACCGCUCUCGGCGGCGGCGGCGGCGAGGGAACAAGUCUCGGGGAGUCAACCUAGGGCACCAAGCCCCCACCCAGGACCCGGCGGGCCCCAGCGGGCGCGGAGAGAGAUGCGCGUUUCAGGCAGAGGUCCUCUCCUCCGGUUUUCGCGACCCUGGCGGGACCCUCUGCCCUGCAAACUCCCACCUGGGACCGCGGCUCCGGCAGGUCAAGAUCCCUAGUGGAAGGCAGGUCAGGGGCCUGAAGGUAGACCCUUUUCUCUUUCUCCCAGCCAGGCGAUGCCCCUGCGGCCUGGGGCGGCGGCGUUGGGUGCUGCAGAGCCCGGGAACUUCCCACCCAGAGGAAAGGCCGCUUCAUCCCGGACCCCGCUGUUCUCCGCGCCCCCGGCACUGCCCAUCAGCACCGUGGGUAGGGGUCUUUAGAGCCUCUGCGGGCAGCCCAGGGAGACCACCAACCCAUAGGCCCUUGGGCCCCAGGGAGGCUCAGGUGAGCAGCGCUUGUCCUCCGGACUGUUGGCCGUUCUGGCGGAUCUGCUUCUGUUCCUCGGGCCAGCCGGCUCCACCCCGCGUCUCUGGAUUCCGGGACAUCGGACAUCUGGCUCCCACCACGCCUUGUGCAGGUAACGAAGCUCCCAGCUGCCAGAUAGAUGGAUGCUGAGACUCCCCGUGGGGUGUUCAGGGCCCCGCCCUGCAGGAGGGCCCCCCUGGGGCUUCACGGGGGGAGCAGGGGCAGCCCACACACCUGGCCAAGCGUGUUGAAGAGUGACAGGUGUGUCCUGGCCGUGAGCUUGUCCAGAGGCCUCAGCGCUCUGUCUCCCCAGCCCCCUCCCCGGGCCUCCUGGGGCCCUGGGGGAAUCCCAGCUGCCUUCCUGCCUCUGAGCCUCCGUGCAUACUGUUCCCUCUGCCUCCUCCCUCCCCUGGGACCCGCAGGCCUUCUCCUCGGCCUGCACCUCCCUCUGGGUCAGGCCUGCUCCACCCCACCGUCUCCCUCCUCCUGGCCGAGGCCAGGCACCUCUCACU